UACAGAGGUCUCAAGCGUUGUUCGGAUUCAUUGGGCGUAAAGGGUGCGUAGGUGGCGCCAUAAGUCGGGUGUGAAAUCUCGGGGCUUAACUCCGAAACUGCAUUCGAUACUGUGGUGCUUGAGGACUGGAGAGGAGACUGGAAUUCAUGGUGUAGCAGUGAAAUGCGUAGAGAUCAUGAGGAAGACCAGUGGCGAAGGCGGGUCUCUGGACAGUGACUGACGCUGAGACGCGAAAGCGUGGGGAGCAAACAGG
rnacentral:rRNA from 1 species